AUGCAAGUCGAGGGGCAGCAUGGUCUUAGCUUGCUAAGGCCGAUGGCGACCGGCGCACGGGUGAGUAACACGUAUCCAACCUGCCGUCUACUCUUGGACAGCCUUCUGAAAGGAAGAUUAAUACAAGAUGGCAUCAUGAGUCCGCAUGUUCACAUGAUUAAAGGUAUUCCGGUAGACGAUGGGGAUGCGUUCCAUUAGAUAGUAGGCGGGGUAACGGCCCACCUAGUCUUCGAUGGAUAGGGGUUCUGAGAGGAAGGUCCCCCACAUUGGAACUGAGACACGGUCCAAACUCCUACGGGAGGCAGCAGUGAGGAAUAUUGGUCAAUGGGCGCAGGCCUGAACCAGCCAAGUAGCGUGAAGGAUGACUGCCCUAUGGGUUGUAAACUUCUUUUAUAGAGGAAUAAAGUCGGGUAUGUAUACCCGUUUGCAUGUACUUUAUGAAUAAGGAUCGGCUAACUCCGUGCCAGCAGCCGCGGUAAUACGGAGGAUCCGAGCGUUAUCCGGAUUUAUUGGGUUUAAAGGGAGCGUAGAUGGAUGUUUAAGUCAGUUGUGAAAGUUUGCGGCUCAACCGUAAAAUUGCAGUUGAUACUGGAUAUCUUGAGUGCAGCUGAGGCAGGCGGAAUUCGUGGUGUAGCGGUGAAAUGCUUAGAUAUCACGAAGAACUCCGAUUGCGAAGGCAGCCUGCUAAGCUGCAACUGACAUUGAGGCUCGAAAGUGUGGGUAUCAAACAGGAUUAGAUACCCUGGUAGUCCACACGGUAAA
rnacentral:rRNA from 1 species